rnacentral:rRNA from 1 species
UACGUAGGCAGCAAGCGUUGUUCGGAGUUACUGGGCAUAAAGGGUGCGUAGGCGGCUUUUUAAGUUUGGUGUGAAAUCUCCCGGCUCAACUGGGAGGGUGCGCCGAAUACUGAGAAGCUAGAGUGUGGGAGAGGAAAGUGGAAUUCCUGGUGUAGCGGUGAAAUGCGUAGAUAUCAGGAGGAACACCGGUGGUGUAAACGGCUUUCUGGACCAUAACUGACGCUGAGGCACGAAAGCGUGGGUAGCAAACAGG